rnacentral:tRNA from 1 species
GCAAAUAUAGUUUAACAAAAACAUUAGAUUGCGAAUCUAAAAUUAAGAGUUUAAGUCUCCUUAUAUGCC